AAUCAGGUAAAAUGUACUGUGCCUGUUCAGAAGGACGAUUUAAGGAGGGACUCCUGGAGAGAACAGAUUCUCUCCACCUCUGUUUUUCACUGAAGUAGUUGUAAAAGUGACAUUGGGUACCAUUUCCACCCAACAGAUGCAGGAAAUACUGGAAAUCUUUUAACAAAAUCUGUACUGCAGAGAUUUCCUUCUGAAUUUCGCAAACUUCAGCAAUUCACAUAAAUGAAAAUUCAAAACAAAACAAAGCGAAAACUUUUUGGCAUUAACCCGUGAGUUACAGAGUGAGAUUUUAAAAGAAAGAGAGAGAGAAGAAGGAAGGAAGGAAGGGAGGGAAGAGAGAGAAGAAGGAAGGAAGGAAGGAAGAGAAAUUGGAAUGACUGACAAUGUAUUCUUCAGCACGGCCAGGUUCCAUGCCACCACUGGACUCUGUACAUGGACUCAUGAUCUGUUUUAAUAAUCUGGGAUUUACCUUAAUUGUUGAGUAUUCUGCUAUGCCUUCAGACUUUUCUCCAGAGUGAAAAAUGAAUUACGAUGAUCCAGACAAGAGCUACUGAUAUGCUGACUCGGCUCCAUAAAAAUCACUCAGUUUAGUAAAACAAUUAUUUCCUAGCCCAAUAUAGACAAAAUAAUUUCCUUGUUAGUUGUCUAGAGUUGUAUUAUUUUUUUAACCAGUUGUGAGCAACAUCCUUUUAGACAUAUUACCUUAUGUGAUUGACGUGGAAUUUCAACAACACUUUUAUGAGUAUGCUGCCAAUUUGCACCUAUUUCAAUAGAUUUUUCCAGCAACAUGUAGGCAUGAAUGUGCUCAUGGCCUUUCUUAAAUGAUUAAUUGAAAGGUUCUAAAGUCUUUUUUCAAGACUAGCCAACCCUAUAUCAUAACAUGACUUCCAUGAAAAAAUAUACUUUACUAUACUCUGUCUUAUUUUUGAGGUGUUUUAGAUAUUAAUUUUCUAUUAGUAAAAUAAUAUAAGUCAUUAAAGCCAAGCAUGAUAGCCAAUAACUUUUGUCCCUCACUUAUACUCCAGCAAUAUGUUAACAAUAUAGAAACUUUUAAAAUAAUACCUGAUUGACUAGAAAUUUGAUUGAGGAAGCCUUCUUCUGCAAUAUGUUAACAAUAUAGAAACUUUUAAAAUAAUACCUGAUUGACUAGAAAUUUGAUUGAGGAAGCCUUCUUCUGCCUUUCUUACAUAGUGUAUUACAGAAUAUAUUUAUAAUCAGUAAUAUUUCUCUGAAAAGUCAUAGAAAGACAUUUAUGCUUAGAACAGUAGCUAGAAGGAUGAAGAAAGUACUUUUAAAAGCGAACAGUAGAGAGUAAGUAAAACAGAUGCAAGGUUGAUUUUUUUCACAGCAAAUCUAUUUUGAGUCUUUAUUAAAAUUUUAAUAAUAAACUUUUUUUUUUAAUGGGAAGUUGAGGCCAGGUGCGGUGGCUCACGACCAUAAUCCCUGCACUUUGGGAGGCUGAGGCAGGUGGAUCACAUGAAGUUGGGAGUUCGAGACCAGCCUGACCAACACAGAGAAACCCCAUCUCUACUAAAAAUACAAAAUUAGCCAGGCGUGGUGGCUGAUGCCUGUAAUCCCAGCUACUCGGGAGGCUGAGGCAGGAGAAUCGCUUGAACCCGGGAGGCGGAGGUUGCAGUGAGCUGAGAUCACACCGUUGCAUUCCAGCCUGGGCAAAAAUAGCGAAACUCCGUAUCAAAAAGAAAAAAAAAACACACAGGAAGUUGUAUUUUACCAUGAAGUUAUGCAAUGUAUGAACAUAGUAUUUUCUAUGAUAUUUUUGGAAGCAAAACAACAAAUCAGGAAAAAAAAUAAUUUUUGCUUCAGUCAUACCUAUUUAUAUGUUAUG
rnacentral:lncRNA from 1 species